AACGAACGCUGGCGGCAGGCUUAACACAUGCAAGUCGAACGCCCCGCAAGGGGAGUGGCAGACGGGUGAGUAACGCGUGGGAAUCUACCCAGUUCUACGGAACAACUGAGGGAAACUUCAGCUAAUACCGUAUACGCCCUAAGGGGGAAAGAUUUAUCGGAAUUGGAUGAGCCCGCGUUGGAUUAGCUAGUUGGUGGGGUAAUGGCCUACCAAGGCGACGAUCCAUAGCUGGUCUGAGAGGAUGAUCAGCCACACUGGGACUGAGACACGGCCCAGACUCCUACGGGAGGCAGCAGUGGGGAAUAUUGGACAAUGGGCGCAAGCCUGAUCCAGCCAUGCCGCGUGAGUGAUGAAGGCCUUAGGGUUGUAAAGCUCUUUCAGUGGGGACGAUAAUGACGGUACCCACAGAAGAAGCCCCGGCUAACUUCGUGCCAGCCGCCGCCGUAAGAC
rnacentral:rRNA from 1 species